rnacentral:rRNA from 1 species
UACGUAGGGGGCUAGCGUUGUCCGGAUUUAUUGGGCGUAAAGAGCGUGUAGGCGGCUAUGCAGGUCCGCUGUGAAAACUCGAGGCUCAACCUCGAGACGUCGGUGGAAACCGCAUGGCUAGAGUCCGGAAGAGGAGUGUGGAAUUCCCGGUGUAGCGGUGAAAUGCGCAGAUAUCGGGAAGAACACCCGUGGCGAAGGCGGCACUCUGGGACGGUACUGACGCUGAGACGCGAAAGCGUGGGGAGCGAACAGG